GCCGCGAUAGCUCAGUAGGUAGAGCGCACCCAUGGUAAGGGUGAGGUCGCCAGUUCAAUCCUGGUUCGCGGCUA
rnacentral:tRNA from 1 species